UAUAGAAUGCCUGACAAAAGGACCCCCUUGAUGAGGAGGAAAAUAUAGACUUUCUAUUUCUAUAA
rnacentral:tRNA from 1 species